AGCGAACGCUGGCGGCAGGCCUAACACAUGCAAGUCGAACGAACUCUUCGGAGUUAGUGGCGGACGGGUGAGUAACACGUGGGAGCGUGCCUUUUGGUUCGGAAUAACUCAGGGAAACUUGUGCUAAUACCGAAUGUGCCCUUCGGGGGAAAGAUUUAUCGCCAUUAGAGCGGCCCGCGUCUGAUUAGCUAGUUGGUGAGGUAACGGCUCACCAAGGCGACGAUCAGUAGCUGGUCUGAGAGGAUGACCAGCCACACUGGGACUGAGACACGGCCCAGACUCCUACGGGAGGCAGCAGUGGGGAAUCUUGCGCAAUGGGCGAAAGCCUGACGCAGCCAUGCCGCGUGAAUGAUGAAGGUCUUAGGAUUGUAAAAUUCUUUCACCGGGGACGAUAAUGACGGUACCCGGAGAAGAGGCCCCGGCUAACUUCGUG
rnacentral:rRNA from 1 species